UACAGAGGGUGCGAGCGUUAAUCGGAAUUACUGGGCGUAAAGCGUGCGUAGACGGUUAUUUAAGUCGGGUGUGAAAGCCCCGGGCUCAACCUGGGAAUGGCAGUGGAUACUGGGAAGCUAGAGUGUGAUAGAGGAUGGUGGAAUUCCCGGUGUAGCGGUGAAAUGCGUAGAGAUCGGGAGGAACAUCAGUGGCGAAGGCGGCCAUCUGGAUCAACACUGACGCUGAGGCGCGAAAGCGUGGGGGAGCAAACAGG
rnacentral:rRNA from 1 species